GCCACUCAAGGAUAUUUAGACUCCUGAAGCCACUCCAGAUGUGUCGGAUUGUUUGGACUGCUGCUGUGCUGAAAGUGGAAUCUUCGCUACCAGUUCGAGGUCAUGACCGGUCUUCCAGAUUCCAUUUCAGAUGACUACAAGUGUGCUUCUGAACCACAUAGGAAUCAAUUCCAGGUUUGUUGGCUAAAACACGCGGGAGGAAAUCACAUCCCUAGCAGGAGACCACAGUGGGAGGCAGUGCCAGCACAUUGAACAGCACACAGCACAGUUCUCAGACGAGAGGGUGUGAGGCAUGUGUUUGAAAUGUAGCAGGGCUGCUAAACAGACGGGAAAAGGCAGAAGGAGAACAAGCGGGUGAAAGGUAG
ensembl:lncRNA